UCCUGGCUCAGGAUGAACGCUAGCUACAGGCUUAACACAUGCAAGUCGCGGGGUAACAUCUGGUAGAGCUUGCUCUUCCAGGAUGACGACCGGCGCACGGGUGAGUAACGCGUAUCCAACCUGGCCCAUACCACGGGAUAGCCCGUCGAAAGGCGGAUUAAUACCGUAUGCUGUCAUUAAGAUGCAUAUAUUGAUGACGAAAGGACUGGCGGUAUGGGAUGGGGAUGCGUCUGAUUAGCUUGUUGGCGGGGUAACGGCCCACCAAGGCGACGAUCAGUAGGGGUUCUGAGAGGAAGGUCCCCCACAUUGGAACUGAGACACGGUCCAAACUCCUACGGGAGGCAGCAGUGAGGAAUAUUGGUCAAUGGGCGCAAGCCUGAACCAGCCAAGUAGCGUGAGGGAUGACUGCCCUACGGGUUGUAAACCUCUUUUGUUUGGGAAUAAAGUGCGGGACGUGUCCCGCAUUGCAUGUACCAUUUGAAUAAGGACCGGCUAAUUCCGUG
rnacentral:rRNA from 1 species